rnacentral:misc_RNA from 1 species
AAGUCGUAACAAGGUUUCCGUAGGUGAACCUGCGGAAGGAUCAUUAACACGUAUCCAACGUGAAAAACCCCCCUGUAACAUUCAAACCUGCUCUCGUAGCCCAGUGCCAUCCAGCAAUCCCGGUAAAUCAUUGUCGAACAGCUUUUGAUUCGGGACUUCUGACAAAUGAGAAGUUACAGUUACGAUUGAGCGGAGAUCCCGAAGUCUGAAAGUGUCAUUGAUUGUCUAAGCAUCUCGCCUCAACGAUUGCUAGAGGUCGCUCACCGACCGGCAGACAUGCAAUCGGGUCCCCACGCCCCUUUACAACCCGAUUACCUCUGUGAGUCUAGGCGGACGCACUAGGCUAAAAAAACCUCGAACAACUGUUAACAAUGGAUAUCUUGGUUCUC